CAGGAAUAGGGCAACAGGACGUGCUGGUCAGGACACAAGGACGUACGAAUCCCGAACAGAGUACAGGGUAUCAUCUAAAUGACGCAUAGCUUUCCCUGACCUUCUAGUUCCGUUACUGUUUGUUAGUCAUAGGUACACAUUUGCUUAACCUUAAAACUAUGCGCGGUGUUUGUAUGAGAGAAGGCAUCCUUCUCUGAUAUUUUGUAAAAACAUUACUGGUUAAUUGCAUGGCAAAACAUGGCACUGUCUUCUACAUUUUCACUAUUUAUUUAUAUCAAGUUAUAACAGGCAAAUGAAAACAAUUUCUUACUGACCCCUGAACUCGAAUAUUUG